CAGGCUUAACACAUGCAAGUCGAGGGGCAGCGGGGGUAGCAAUACCCGCCGGCGACCGGCGCACGGGUGAGUAACGCGUAUGCAACUUACCUAUCAGAGGGGGAUAACCCGGCGAAAGUCGGACUAAUACCGCAUGAAGCAGGGAUCCCGCAUGGGAAUAUUUGCUAAAGAUUCAUCGCUGAUAGAUAGGCAUGCGUUCCAUUAGGCAGUUGGCGGGGUAACGGCCCACCAAACCGACGAUGGAUAGGGGUUCUGAGAGGAAGGUCCCCCACAUUGGUACUGAGACACGGACCAAACUCCUACGGGAGGCAGCAGUGAGGAAUAUUGGUCAAUGGCCGAGAGGCUGAACCAGCCAAGUCGCGUGAGGGAUGAAGGUUCUAUGGAUCGUAAACCUCUUUUAUAAGGGAAUAAAGUGCGGGACGUGUCCCGUUUUGUAUGUACCUUAUGAAUAAGGAUCGGCUAACUCCGUGCCAGCAGCCGCGGUAAUACGGAGGAUCCGAGCGUUAUCCGGAUUUAUUGGGUUUAAAGGGUGCGUAGGCGGCCUUUUAAGUCAGCGGUGAAAGUCUGUGGCUCAACCAUAGAAUUGCCGUUGAAACUGGGGGGCUUGAGUAUGUUUGAGGCAGGCGGAAUGCGUGGUGUAGCGGUGAAAUGCAUAGAUAUCACGCAGAACCCCGAUUGCGAAGGCAGCCUGCCAAGCCAUGACUGACGCUGAUGCACGAAAGCGUGGGGAUCAAACAGGAUUAGAUACCCUGGUAGUCCACGCAGUAAACGAUGAUCACUAGCUGUUUGCGAUACACUGUAAGCGGCACAGCGAAAGCGUUAAGUGAUCCACCUGGGGAGUACGCCGGCAACGGUGAAACUCAAAGGAAUUGACGGGGGCCCGCACAAGCGGAGGAACAUGUGGUUUAAUUCGAUGAUACGCGAGGAACCUUACCCGGGUUUGAACGCAUUCGGACCGAGGUGGAAACACCUUUUCUAGCAAUAGCCGUUUGCGAGGUGCUGCAUGGUUGUCGUCAGCUCGUGCCGUGAGGUGUCGGCUUAAGUGCCAUAACGAGCGCAACCCUUGCCACUAGUUACUAACAGGUAAAGCUGAGGACUCUGGUGGGACUGCCAGCGUAAGCUGCGAGGAAGGCGGGGAUGACGUCAAAUCAGCACGGCCCUUACAUCCGGGGCGACACACGUGUUACAAUGGCGUGGACAAAGGGGAGCCACCUGGCGACAGGGAGCGAAUCCCCAAACCACGUCUCAGUUCGGAUCGGAGUCUGCAACCCGACUCCGUGAAGCUGGAUUCGCUAGUAAUCGCGCAUCAGCCAUGGCGCAGUGAAUACGUUCCCGGGCCUUGUACACACCGCCCGUCAAGCCAUGGGAGCCGGGGGUACCUGAAGUCCGUAACCGCGAGGAUCGGCCUAGGGUAAAACUGGUGACUGGG
rnacentral:rRNA from 1 species